UAGGGAAUCUUCGGCAAUGGGGGGAACCCUGACCGAGCAACGCCGCGUGAGUGAAGGAGGUUUUCGGAUCGUAAAGCUCUGUUGUUAAGGAAGAACGAGUGUGAGAAUGGAAAGUUCAUGCUGUGACGGUACUUAACCAGAAAGGGACGGCUAACUACGUGCCAGCAGCCGCGGUAAUACGUAGGUCCCGAGCGUUGUCCGGAUUUAUUGGGCGUAAAGCGAGCGCAGGCGGUUAGAAAAGUAUGAAGUGAAAGGCAGUGGCUCAACCAUUGUAUGCUUUGGAAACUGUUUAACUUGAGUGCAGAAGGGGAGAGUGGAAUUCCAUGUGUAGCGGUGAAAUGCGUAGAUAUAUGGAGGAACACCGGUGGCGAAAGCGGCUCUCUGGUCUGUAACUGACGCUGAGGCUCGAAAGCGUGGGGAGCGAACAGG
rnacentral:rRNA from 1 species